rnacentral:snoRNA from 1 species
GCAAUGAUGGAAGUAUUGCAUUCCACGUUUCAGAUGGAGAGCACAUGAUUGACACACAAUCGACACUGAGA